rnacentral:rRNA from 1 species
UGGGGAAUAUUGGACAAUGGGCGAAAGCCUGAUCCAGCAAUGCCGCGUGAGUGAUGAAGGCCUUAGGGUUGUAAAGCUCUUUUACCCGGGAUGAUAAUGACAGUACCGGGAGAAUAAGCCCCGGCUAACUCCGUGCCAGCAGCCGCGGUAAUACGGAGGGGGCUAGCGUUGUUCGGAAUUACUGGGCGUAAAGCGCACGUAGGCGGCUUUGCAAGUUAGAGGUGAAAGCCCAGGGCUUAACCCUGGAAUUGCCUUUAAAACUGCAUCGCUAGAAUUGUGGAGAGGUAAGUGGAAUUCCGAGUGUAGAGGUGAAAUUCGUAGAUAUUCGGAAGAACACCAGUGGCGAAGGCGACUUACUGGAAACAUAUUGACGCUGAGGUGCGAAAGCGUGGGGAGCAAACAGG